rnacentral:rRNA from 1 species
CUCAAUGAAAUUUAUAUAGCCGCAACAUUCUUGUGCUAAGGUAGCAUAAUCAUUUGUUUUUUAAUUGAAAACUAGAACAAAAGAUUUAAUAUUUUCAUUUCUUUCUUAUAUAUAAAUUAUAUAAUCUAUUUCAAAUAUAAAAAAAUAUUUAUAAUUUAAAAAGACGAUAAGACCCUAUUGAACUUAACUAUAGUUUAACUGGGGUAGUUAGUUAAAAAUAAUUUUAAUUCAAUUCUUAAAAAUAUCUAAUAAAAUUAAAAAUAAUCAAGUUACCGUAGGGAUAACAGCGUAAUAAUUUUCUAAAGAUCUAAUUCAAAAAAUUGCUUACGACCUCGAUGUUGAAUUAAUAUUCUAUUAAAUGCAACAAUUUAAUAAGAAAGUC